ACAGAGGGUGCGAACGUUGUUCGGAAUUACUGGGCGUAAAGCGCGUGUAGGCUGUCGUGCAAGUCGGGUGUGAAAGCCCAGGGCUCAACCCUGGAAGUGCACUCGAAACUGCAAGACUUGAGUAUCGGAGAGGGUGGCGGAAUUCUGGGUGUAGAGGUGAAAUUCGUAGAUAUCCAGAGGAACACCAGUGGCGAAGGCGGCCACCUGGACGAUUACUGACGCUGAGACGCGAAAGCGUGGGGAGCAAACAGG
rnacentral:rRNA from 1 species